rnacentral:rRNA from 1 species
UACGGAGGGUGCGAGCGUUGUCCGGAAUUACUGGGCGUAAAGGGCGCGUCGGCGGACAGUUUAGUCAGAGGUGAAAGCCCAGGGCUCAACCUUGGAAUUGCCUUUGAUACUGGCUGUCUUGAGUUCGGGAGAGGUGAGUGGAAUGCCGAGUGUAGAGGUGAAAUUCGUAGAUAUUCGGCGGAACACCAGUGGCGAAGGCGACUCACUGGCCCGAUACUGACGCUGAGGCGCGAAAGCUAGGGGAGCAAACGGG